GUUCCCACACCCAGGGCGGCUCUUUAAAAGCAUGUGUUUGGUCCCAGGAGGAGCACAGCACACUCACACACACACACACACACACACACUGAUUUCCUGUCCUUGUGGUAAACACUGUAGGGAUGAUGGCUCUGAUGAUAGCAGUACUCAUGCUCAUCGCCACUGGAACGGCCGCACAAUCAGGACACGAGCCGACCGAUGAAACCCCAGCAGAUUGACCCUGAUGCAGAUGUAUGGUCCCAGUCAUGACAUCGGUCAGCAAACGGCCUCGAUCCGACUGGAGCGCGGCGUAAAGAAUCGGUUCGGACAGACUCCAGCACACGAUGUAGGCUUCAAACUGGAGGAUGCUUUUGCUCCAGCAAUUUGUGACAAUAACAUUGUCGGAGAAAUGGAUGAAGCCAUUAAAAAGAUGCAGAGGUGGAAGUCCUGUGUGGAAUCCCAAAUGGAGGCCUCUAAGAUGGUGAAAAAGGUAAGCAGGGAAAACUCCACCACUCACCUUCUUCUCACUUCCACUGAACCUUUCUUGUGUUUUCAGGCAUAACGAUGAGCUGAAUGCUCUCCUGCAUUGGAUCACGAUAUGAAUAUCCUGCAAUCACUCAAACAAAUUCUUCAAAAUGUAUUCAUGACCAAUCCUGGUUGGCUCUGUAAUCAUCAAUAAAAAUGUUUGACCUGCAAAUAAU
rnacentral:lncRNA from 1 species